UCUCCGUAGGUGAACCUGCGGAGGGAUCAUUACAGAGUUCAUGCCCUCCCGGGUACAACCCCCAACCUAUGUUAUUAUUACUUUGUUGCUUUGGCGGGCCGUUAGGCUCCGGCCCGACUGCCGGCGCCGGCUGGUAAGCGCCCGCCCGAGGACCCAAAACCCUGAAUAUUAGUGUCGUCUGAGUACUAUAUAAUAGUUAAAACUUUCAACAACGGAUCUCUUGGUUCUG
rnacentral:misc_RNA from 1 species